rnacentral:rRNA from 1 species
GAUGAACGCUGGCGGCGUGCCUAAUACAUGCAAGUCGAGCGAACGGACGAGAAGCUUGCUUCUCUGAUGUUAGCGGCGGACGGGUGAGUAACACGUGGAUAACCUACCUAUAAGACUGGGAUAACUUCGGGAAACCGUAGCUAAUACCGGAUAAUAUUUUGAACCUCAUGGUUCAAAAGUUAAAGACGGUCUUGCUGUCACUUAUAGAUGGAUCCGCGCUGCAUUAGCUAGUUGGUAAGGUAACGGCUUACCAAGGCAACGAUGCAUAGCCGACCUGAGAGGGGGAUCGGCCACACUGGAACUGAGACACGGUCCAGACUCCUACGGGAGGCAGCAGUAGGGAAUAUUCCGCAAUGGGCGAAAGCAUGACGGAGCAACGCCGCGUGAGUGAUGAAGGUCUUCGGAUCGUAAAACUCUGUUAUUAGGGAAGAACAUAUGUGUAAGUAACUGUGCACAUCUUGACGGUACCUAAUCAGAAAGCCACGGCUAACUACGUG